rnacentral:lncRNA from 1 species
CACUUAUUUGUUAUAAAUAAAAAGUGUAUUUGUGGGCUGGAGGUUAAGAGCCCUGGCUGCUCUUCCAGAGGACCCAGGUUCAAUUCCCAGCGCUCACAUGGCAGCUCAAAACUGCCUGUAAUUGACGUUCCUGUGAAUCCAACACCCUCACACAGACAUACAUACAGGAAAUGAGGUGUAGGGAGUCUGGGAGAAUUAUUACCCAAGAUCGCAGUGAGUCAGAGACUUCGGGAGCACAGCAGAAGACUCGGAUCCAUGAUCGUGACCCCAGAUUUGCUGUGUGCAGGCCUUGUGGUCUCAGAGAAAAAUCCCCAGAGGAGACCCCGAGUUGAUUAACCCCAAGGUUACUGUGGAGGAUGGGACUAAAGGCUCAAACUAAAUUAAGUUUUUCAAGCUUAUGGGAGUUUGGAGGCCCUGAUUUAGAAUUCCACUUCUGUGUCACCCUGCUGCUUUAUGCAGGCCUGAAGAUCAGAUGCAGGACUCUGUGUGCCAGGUAAGAUACUGUACCAACUAGACUACACCCACAGCCAUCCACAGCUCUACUGCUCCCUCCCCCUAUGUGUGUGUGUGUGUGUAUGCGCGCGUGUGCGUGUGUGCGUGCGUGCGUGCGUGCGUGUGUGUUUUGGAAAUUCCUUUGGGCUGCUAACCAGCUCCCAAAUAAAGACACAGAGACUUAUUAUUAAUUAUGGAUGCUUGUCCUCAGCUUAUGCUUGUCCCACUAGCUCUUUUAACUUAAUUUUACCUGUUUCUAUUCAUCUAUGUUUUGCCUCGGUGUUUUGUUUUGUUUUUGUUUUUUUCUUUCUUUCAUUCUGUGUGUCCUAUUUUUCUGCUUCCUCUGUGUCUGGUUGGGGGCCCCUGGUAUCUCCCUGGUGUCUCCUCUUUUUUUUUCCUUCCUGAACCUAAAUUCCUCCUCCUACUUACUCUCCCAGCCUGGAAGUCUCACCUAUACCUCAUCCCUUGCUACUGGCCUUUUAGCUUUUUAUUAGACCAAUCAGAUGCCUUAGGCAGGCAAGGUAAAACA